UUAAAGUGACGGGUAUACCCAUUAGGUUCAAUAAGUCUUUGGCUUGGUCACAAUCUCUUAACACAUGAAGAGUAGUCUCCUCCUGGUUUUUUAACAAAAAAGGCAUAUAUUUUCUUGUAUGAUUUGUCUAUGACAAAGGAGGCUUUUAGUUGGAAUUCGAUCUUGGACAGCAAGGCAAAGGAAGUCUUGUAGACGACGUGUGGUUUUUG
rnacentral:lncRNA from 1 species